rnacentral:lncRNA from 1 species
AUAAAUAAGCAAAUUAAAUAAGAAGAGUAAAUAUAUGAGGGUGAAUAUAUGCUUAAAAUUAAAUUUUAGCUUGCCCGACCCUCCAAAUUUUUCCUUCUGGCGCCUCUUCAAAAAAGAAGAUGAAAACGUUAAUGUUGUGCCUCACUCACACCAUCAUAUCUACAUUCUCGAAAACCGUAAUGACUUUCACCUUUCACUUUCAUAUACAUAACCAUCUCCGAAUCCUAGGGUUUCGUCCUCCUCUUUACUUUUCCUUCACUUUUAAUCGAUUAAAGCCACUUUUCUACCGAUUAAAACCCUUUUUACCGUUUGUUCUUUGAUUUCCAUCGAUUAAACCUCCAUUUAUGUCGUUUAAACAGUUUUAUACCGAUCAAUCUUGCGUUUGAAUCGAUUAAUCGGUUCAUAUUGAGUUUCUCCCCAUUGUUAGGGUUCCUUCGGUCUAGAUUAGAGUUCAUCAUCCAUUUUAGAGUUUUCCCCCAAUCGUUGUAGCUUUUAUUCGUUCAUUUAGGGUUUUCUAACAUUUUCUUCCGUUCAUUC